AACUUUAUCUUUUGGUUUCCUUUUGCUGGUGAGUUUGGGCUUAGCUUCGGCGGCCCGAUCUCUUCUUUCUUACGAUAUUCCUCCUCAUCGAUCUGGAUACGAUAAUUAUGAUCAUCCUGUAGUUAACCCUAAAGUAGGAUACGAACAUGACCGUCGUGAUGGAUACUACCAUGACCGUGACCAUCAUGAUGCACCUUAUGGUGGUGGUGCUGGUGGAGGAUAUGGAGCUGGAGCUGGAGCUGGCUCAUCUCUUGGAGGCUCUGGAUAUGGAAGUGGAGGAGGUGGUGGUUCUGGAUAUGGAGGUGUAGGAAACCACGAGGUUGGUUAUGGUAGUGGUGGAGGGGGUGGAUAUGGAGCUGGAGUUGGCUCUGACCUUGGUGGUAGCGGAUACGGAAGCGGUGGUGGUGGAGGCAGUGGAGGAGGAUACGGUGAUUUAGGAGGACGUGGAAAAGGGUACGGUAGCGGUGGAGGUGGAGGAAGUGGAUAUGGAGGUAGAGGAGACCAUGGAGUUGGUUAUGGAAGUGGUGGAGGUGGAGGAUAUGGAAGUGGAGUAGGUGGUGGUGCAGGAGUGGUAGACCAUGGUGUAGGUUAUGGGAGUGGAGGAGGAGGUGGGGCUGGUAGUGGUUAUGGUGGUUCCAAAGGAUAUGGAGGUGGAAGCGGCGGCGGUGGGGGAGCCGGUUAUGGUGGUGGAGCACAUGGAAGUGGAUAUGGAAGUGGUGGUGGAGCUGGAAGUGGUGAAGAAGGAGGAUAUGAUGGUGGAUAUGCACCGUAAACAAAGAAAAGAAAAGAAAAAGCUCAAAGUUUUAUGGCUAAAAUGAGAAUGCUUACCCUAAUAUCAUCAAUGUGUGUGUGUGUUAGCAAAAAAAAAAAAUAAAAGAAUUUGGGUAAGAAAUGUUAUAUUAAUUAUCUUUGAGCUUUUAAGUAAUUUGAAUGUAAUAUAAUAUAUAUAUAAAAAAAGCUAAUCCAUGUGUUCCAAAGUGAACCAACAUGAAGUAUAUUUUCUCCCUUUGUCAUCAUGAUCAUCUUAAACUUGUGGUUAUUAUGUGGGCUCUCAUUAUUAUUCCAAGAUAGCAACGUCGGGAUAUUCAAAUAUUUUUCAUAUGUAAUGUCUUAAGACUAAAUCACUAUGAUCUAUAUGCUUUAAUUAAGUUCAAAACUAUUUUGGAAGCAUUAUGAUUAAUAUAUUGAUUACUUAAAUACUAUUAUAUGGUUUUCAAGGUAACUUGAUGUUGUUAAUAAAAGAAAUCUUUAAUAUUUAAUCAGUCCUUUCUCUUAAAAUUUAGUAAAAAUAAAUACUAAAAUGGUAUGAUGUUUUAUGGUUGGAUUUGGGGUAUGUGUUUUGGCUUGUCCCUCUAGUUGUGACUUGUUCAAAAUAAGUGUACAAUCAAAUUCACUUGGGUUAUUAAAGACAAUUGAUAAACAAAAAUUGCCAAAACGAUAGAGCAUAACUAUUUAAUCGGUAUAAAACUUGUACAAUCCAUUAAUCAUAAUAUACUUUUUCUAAUUGAUCUCUAAUUGAUCGUACAUACUAGUUAGUGUCGAUAAAAAACUCAAUUUGACGUAUAAAUAUUUGUUUGUUGUAAAUGAACAUCUAAGUAUAUUCUUGAUUAAUUAUUCUUAUACUAAGAGUAACAUUGACCCCUCUAUUCUUUAGUAUUUGGUUAAAAGAAUAAAAAAUUAGUAAGUGAUGAAUCUUAGUGUGCUAUAGGUUGAUCAACCAAUUAAAAUUAGUCGUUUCAAGCAAUACUUUCGAAAAAAUUCAUUAAAUAGGAGUUAUUUAAACUAUCAACCCUGAGUUUUUAUACAUUACAAUAAAUUUAAUCUUUGAUGUCGGUCAAAAACUAAUAUAUAGGAGUACAAUAUAGAUCACCAGAUCGAUAUGGAAGACAAUGUUAUGGAAGAUGUUCAAUGUUAAUCACUUUUAUGUUCGUUUUGGUCUUGGCAUUAUAAAUAAUUUAAAUGGUAGUUUUUGCUCACACUACAAAUGUGUUAGACUAUUAGUCAUCAAAUAGUUUGAAUUCCUUGUAAAAAAAAUUAGUUGAAACAAAAAUAAAUAAUUAUCUUUGCAUUAAAAUAAAAUAAAAUAAAUAAAAUAGAUUUUUUUGUGAAUAUUUUGGUCAGGUGUUCUAUUUUUUAUAAUUUCCCAUAAAAAAUAUGUGUAAUAAGUUAUUUAAAAUACUAAUAGUAUUAAUUAGUUUACUUAAUAAAUCAAUUAUAUCUCUAAAUGAUAUUUUGGUAGAUUUAAAAAUAUUUUGAUUCAUUUUGCUAUAUUUGAAAAAGAAACCAUAAAAUUCUACUUCAUAUUCGCAAUAGAUCAUGGUAAACUUAGAUAGGCAUCUAUUAUUUAUAUAUAUGGUGAUAGAUACUUAUGUAUCUAUAUCCAAGCCCAUCAUCUAAAUAUUUUCAAAUGGUUUUCAAUUGAAAACAAAUUUCUCAAUAAGUAAUUAAAAAUUAGGUUUUUAUUCACUAAUAAUUAUUAUUUAAAUGUGAACAAAUAAAGUUUAGCUCGUAUAUAAUGGGUCAGUAGGUACACUCGGAUAUCUCCACUAGAUGGACACCCCUUAGCACCCUCAUUAUCUCCGUUUCAUUAAUAUAAAAAAUCGAAUUGAAUACACGAGAAGUAAAGAGAACAACCCAAACAAAAAACAAAGAACUAGAGACAAGCCCAAAACAAGUACAAACAAUUAGAAAGCAUGAAGAAAUUAGUGCUUUAAACCCCUAAACCGCAAUGUUACUUAACAAAUAAAAUUGUUAUUUAAAAGUUUGAAGUUAUUAUUGAGUUUUAUUUUAGCAAAUUAAUCAUCUCUUAAAUUAAAAAUCUCAAACAUACAUGGAAGAUAAGAUCAAUUAAGCACAUGUUGGAUGAAUUUUGUUCGAAUAAAAAUUAAAACAACUUAUUGUUAUCAACUUAUAAGUUAUAUAUAUGAUGAUGGUGGUGCAGAGGUGAAAACUUAGUUUGAGAUCUCUCCCUACAUCUACUAUGCUUUUACGUUCUAAUGUAUUUUGUGGUAAAAAAAUCAAUUAUAAACUUUUAAGAAAAAUUUUCAUAUGUUAUUAUUUUUUCUCUAAAUUCUAAACUAGCCAGGUUAUCAACAAAACAAAUACCACUAGAGUUUAAGGGAUUAGGAAGCAUAUAUGAAUAUCUCAACUUGGUUAACACGUCGUUUUUAAACAUUUCUCAUCAGGUUGCUGUUUCAAAAGUGAUGCACUGAUGUGAAGAAACAUAUAGGAGAAAAGUGAGAUGGAAAGUUAGUAUAUUGGACAGAGUACAUAGUACAUAGUAGGUUUAUUAAUUAAUUUAUCCAAAUGAUAAUCUCAUUACCAAGCACUAUGUGAUUUAGAUAUGAAUAAAAUGUGAUCAUUUUUCCACCACUAUUACAUAGCAAAUGGGAAAACAUCUCAUUGUGGUUUGAUAUUUUAAAAAACAAUUAUGGUAAUGCAAGUCGUCUCAUAUCCCAUAAUAUUAUCUCAGUCUCAUGGCGACUGAUACAAAAGGACAAAACUAACUUCAUUAAAAUAUGUUCUCUCCUUCCUACACUUUUUAGGUAUAUAUCAUUCAUAUAUUAAUCACUGCAAUUGGUUAGGUGGACUACAAAAACAUAGAUAUAGUCCGAGAUAAAAUUAAGUACGGUUAUAUUUUACGAGACUUUUGAUGUGUUUGAUUACAUUUUCAUGUGUUUCUUUUAGAAAAUAAGUUAUUUUGAAAAAACUAAAGUAUUUUAAACAAUUUUUAGAACAAUCAAUUUCUUGAAAAAUAUUUUUUUCUUAAUUCAAUCUAAGAUGGAUCCUCAAAAUAUUUGAGGGUAGUUCUUUUAUAAAAGUAUUUACACUAGGUUGGUUUAUGAAGUAAAAUAUUGAUCGGUAAAUUCAAGUUUUAAAUUAGAAAAAUUGAAUAUUUUUAAAAAUAGAAGAAUUGGCUAACUAUUUACAACUCAUACCAAAAUUUUAAUACAAAUCCAAAGUAUCUAUUUUUUAUUUUAUUAUUAUUAUUAUUUUUUGCUAUAGGAUGUAAAUACUAUCUGUUUUCUUGUAAAUUUCUCUUACAAUCCUCUACGAGAAAGUCUUAAUUUUUAUAUUUAUGAUUUAUAUUAUAAUAUAAUUAUUUGGAACCAUAUAAUAAAUAAAAGGAAAAUUGUAAAACAUAACAUUUGACAAAAUAUCUUCGUAGAAAAAUUUGUUGUGUAAUCAAUUUUGAGGUUUUGUUAUAUGGAGCGUAAAUAUUUUGUCAAAUUUUCUAUUUGUGAAAAAAAAAACUUAUAGGUAAUUUGAAAGGUAAGUGAUCUUGUUUAAGAUCCAAAUUUCUUUUAUGAAAGUUUAAUUUAGAAUACAUACGAGAAAAAUAGAUUAAUCUAGAAUGAUAAAUGUAAGAUAGGUUUGGGAAGUACCAAUAAAUUUUAGGCAUGUGAUAGACUAUAACUGUGAAGAUAUAUAGUCUAUUGCUAUCUUGAAUGGCUCAUUCUUGUUUGAAAAUGACCUUAUUUAAAACACAACUUUUUUAUAAAAGAAAAUCCCUUGCAUCAUUCAAACAAUCUUACAAGAUCGUAUUAGUGGAAGAUGAGAUAGAAUUCUGACAUGUGUAUUAUUAGUAUACUUGAAUAGUUUCUUAUCUAACUUUUGAGCAAGUAGUGGAGAAGCUGAUCAUGAACCCUAAACCCACCGUAUCAUUCACUAUAUAAAGGAGAUCACUACAUGCAUUCUAAGGCAUCCCUUCUCCAAAUGGCUAUCUUUAGAACUUUCUCUUUCGGUUUUCUUUUGUUGGUGAGUUUAGGCUUAGCUUCUGCGACCAGAAGUCUUCUCACCUAUGAUCCACCACAUCACUCUGUAUAUGAUGAUCAUAACACUAAAGUAGGUUACGGACGUGACCAUCAUGAUCAACCUUAUGGUGGUGGUGUUGGUGCUAGUGGAGGAUAUGGAGCCGGAGCUGGCUCUGGAUAUGGAGGUGUAGGAUACGAACAUGACCAUCAUGAUGGAUACGAACGUGAUCAUGAUCGAUCUUAUGGUGGUAGUGCUGGUGGAGGAUAUGGAGUUGGAGCUGGCUCCUCUCUUGGAGGCUCUGGAUAUGGAAACGUAGAUCAUGGGGUUGGUUAUAGCAAUGGUGGAAGUGGUGGAUAUGGAGCUGGUGUUGGCUCUGACCUUGGUGGUAGCGGAUAUGGAAGCGGUAAUGGCGGAGCAAGUGGAAGUGGAAAUGGUGAUUUAGGAGGACGUGGAAAAGGCUACGGUCGCGGUGGUGUUGGAGGAAAUGGAUAUGGAGGUAGAGGAGACCAUGGCCGAGUAGUAGGCCAUGAUGAUGUAGUUUAUGGUGGUUCCAAAGGAUAUGGAGGUGGAAGUGGCGUCGGUGGGGGAGCUGGUUAUAGCGGUGGAGCAAGUGGAAGUGGAUAUGGAAGUGGUGGUGGAGCUGGAAGUGGAAGUGGCUAUGGCGGAAGUGGUGAAGAAGGAGGAUAUGAUGGUGGAUAUGCACCUUAAAUAAAAGGGGCUAAAACAUCAUCUAAAAGCUUAUCGUUAAAACGAUAAUACUUACCUAAAUAUCAAUGUUUGUUAGCAAAAAUAAAGAAUUUAGGUAAGAAUGUUAUGUUCCUCUUUUGAAUUUUAGUAACUUCAAUGAAUGUGAUAUUAUAAAAACUAGCUGUUUCAUGGGGUUCUAAAGACCAACAAACAUGCAUGAAAUACUGAGUUAAUACAACGUACGCCAUUCCAAACGUGCUAUUUUAUGGAUUCCAAAGUUGACUUUGAACUAAGGACUAAAUAAUCCUUUAACACCUUCUAAACACAAAUUAUUUCACAGACGUCAAGAUCAGUUAAUCAAGUUAAAACUUAAUAGGUCAAAUUCAUCAUUCCAAAAUGACUUGUAGAAAAAUUUUGAGACUUAGUUCGAGUAUGUUAAAUUCUAAUGUUACGAAGUUUUCUUAACAAAAUUGAGAAGGAGGUUGGGAUGGUGGAUAUGCACUCAAAAAUUUCAUCUCAAAAGAGAAUUGAGAAACAUACUUUUCAAGUAACAAACCCAAUAUUCAUAUUAAUUGGGCAACAAAAGUAAGGAAAUAGGGGUAAAAAGAGAACAUUGUUUUCUAAAUAAUCUAUGUCGAGGUUUGCUUCUUGGCCAUGAAAUUCGAACCAAUUAUUCAAUGAUAAGCAAAUUUGGAUUAAGUAUGCAUGUGUAAUGUGACAAAAUUAUUCAACCACAUUCACGUUAUUUUGCUUUCCUAAUCAUAUUUAUGAAAUAAGAUGGUUUCAUCUUUCAAAAUCAAUACACAAUUACAAAAGUAGUAAUACUUCUAUCUUAUAAACAAUGUUGAUCUCUUGAAUUUUCCAUGUAUGGAAUUAUCAACAUUCUCCGCAUAUUGUUCUAGGUUAUUUUUUUAACCAGUGUAAUCAACCUCAAACAAAAACAAAAGUGACAAAACCAAGAAAAUAACAAAAUUUUCACUUAAAUAAAAGAGGGAAAAAAAAUAGCACAUCCUAUAAGCCAAAAUAAGGGCGAGGGGUUUAGGGUUUAGGGUUAUUAGACCAAGACUACCAAAAUGUCUAAUGACUUUUAUAACGAAACAUCUAGUUUAGAUUGAUACAUAUGAUAUGUAGCAUCUUCACAGCAUCCAAGAUCAAGAGUCGAUAUAUUAUCAUGAAAAGAAAGUACAAAAGGGAAGUUAGGGAAAAACUUGGAGUCAACGUUAAGAGAACCAUUAAAAGUUUUAGAAGUUCAAUUAAUAUUUGUAAAAUUUUAAGAGCUAAAUUUUUAUAAUCCAACGUUUGAGGUCUAGUAAUUGCAAUUGACCAUCAUACUUCAGGGAUAAUUUUUGAAAAUUUCCUUUUCUAUUAUUAAAUUAUCAAGAAAAAAAAGUUUAAUGACGGUCAAAAUAAUCCCUGGCGUCCAUAUAAUAAUUUUCAAUAACAUUUCACGACACUAAAAAAAAUUGGAACUUUGCUCACAUUUUUCUAAGAAACGUAAAUAUUUUGUCAACUUUACUAUAUAUAUAUUAUUGUUACUCUUUUAAAAACUUAAGUAAUUUUGAUUCGACCAAUUUUUUUUGCUAUCAACUACAAUUGUUAAAAAAUAUAUAUAUACGAAAAAAAAUGGUUAAUUUUCAUUCACAAAAUAUUUAAAAAAGUAAAAUUUUAAAUUUGUCUCGUAUCUUUUGGAAUAAGGUUUGUCUUUAAUUAAGGAAAUUUAAAAGUUGCUAAAACAUAGCUAAAUUAAACAAAAGUUACUUUUUUAAAGAAAAUUUUUUAAAUAACAAAAUUAUUAAAAAUAUAAUUAAAUUAGAAUUUUUGAAUCUAUUAUUGAUAUAAUUAAGAAAAGUCUAUCAACAUAUAUCAAUUCUAAUAUUUUAUUAUAUUUUAAUUCAUUUGGUUAUAUUUAACAACUCAUUCCCACACAAACUAUAAUUCAAAUUAAAAACAUAUUUGAACAAAUAUUUUGUAUAAUUUAAGUGAUGAAUCGCACUAAUAUUGUUAAAAUGUGUUUAAAAUGUGAUACUUUUCCCACCAUAUUUUAUAGCAAAUGGCAGAUAAUUUAAUGUUUCUUUGAAGCAAGAAUUAGGCAAAGAAGCAUAUAUAUAUAUAUAUAUAUAUAUAUAUAUAUAUAUAUAAUAUAUAUAUAAUAUGUAAUUAAAUUUUAUAUUAUAGUUAUGCAAAAUCGUUUCAUAAGCCACUUCAUCUCUCUCUAUUUCAUGGCAUCAAGUAAACAAAAAGGGAAAAAGGGAAAAAGAGACCUAAUAAAAUAUGUGUUCUUUAAUUGGUGGAUUUUUAAUUAGCAUUAUUAAUUAAUCAAUCAUGUAAAUAUCCUACAAAGAAUAUUUGUUCUUAAGAUAAUUCAUUGCAUGAUGAAUCAAAAUUUUAGGUUGGGUGUUCCUGUAUACUUAAAAACAUUAUUGCAUUACCAAAUUAAAUUUAUACAAACCAAACGAUAUCAUUUUGUUCGUAUUAAGUUCGUUUAAGUUUAGAUGGUAUAUGAAAGUUGGUUUGUUAUGUUUAGGUUUAUUAAACAACAUUGUAUUUAGACGAUAGUGUAAACUUUAAGUUGUUAAACAUGUGUUUUAUCUUAGUCUAAUGUCGUCUAAUACAAAUAUAUUAUGAUACUUUUUAAUAUUUAAAAAUAUUUUUAGAAGUUUUAUAAAUUAAAAUAAUUUUUCUAAAAAUUAAGUUUCAUCAUUUUUAAGAGGAGAAAAGACACCCUAAACAUAAAUUAAAGAAAAUAGAAUGAUAUUGUAUUAAUUACAUAAAUUUAAUCAAAAAUUAAGAACUAAAAAUAAAAUUGUUAUCAAAAUGAAAAUUCAUUUUAACAUUCAAACCAUCCAAAAAAAAGAACAUCUAAUUACUCUAUUGUAACAGAAGUUUUAUCCUCUUAAGAAAAAAAUAGUUUAAUGUUAAAAGAGUAUACAAAACGUGUUAAUAAGUACACAACUCAAUUAGCAUAAAGCUUAAAUUUUAUUUAGAUCAAGACUCAAAUCUAUGAGAUCACAGGAUAUUGCAAAUUUAGGAUUUUAGGUUAUCGUUUAAAGUUCUAAAAUAUUGCAAAAUGGUGCAAGUGGGAAGAUGGGAUCCAAAUCAAGUAUGGAUAUGAUUUAGUUCCAAUUAUAAUUUAAGGUUAUAGUUUAAUGAUUUAGUUACAACACUUUAGUGUUUUGCCUCUUGAACUUCCCUUAAGCUAUAAUCCAUAAUUAAUAAUGUUUUUGAGCACGUGCCUUCUCUUUAAUUGCCACUAAGGUACCACACUAUAGAGAAGAGCUAAUGAAUCCUUGUUUUCUAUAUAAGGAGAUGGAUCAAUGCAUUCUAAGCAUAUACUCCUAUCCAUGGCUAUUUCUAGAGUGUUGUGCAUUGGCUUUCUUCUUUUUGUGGGGUUAGGGUUAGCUUCGGCUGCCCGAACUCUUCUUGAUUAUGAUCCACGUGCACGUCGUUAUGAUUACGAUCGUCCUACUCCAAGAGUAGGAUACGAUCCAAGCCAUCGUGAUCAAUCCUAUGAUAAUGUAUAUGGUGGAAGCUCUAGCAGAGGAUAUGGAGCUGGAGACUCUGCUCUUGGAGGUUCGGGACGAUAUGAAGGUGGUGGAGGACGUGAUUACGGACAUGGAGGCCGAAAUGAUGAUCGUGGUGUUGGAUAUGGAGGUCGAAAUGAUGAUCGUGGUGCUGAAUAUGGAGGUAGAAAUGAUGAUCAUGGUGCUGGAUAUGGAAGUCGAAAUGAUGAUCGUGGUGUUGGAUAUGGAAGUCGAAAUGAUGAUCGUGGUGUUGGAUAUGGAAGUCGAAAUGAUGAUCGUAGUGUUGGAUAUGGAGGCCGAAAUGAUGAUCGUGGAGUUGGAUAUGGUAAUGGUGGUGGAUAUGGAGGUGUAGGAGGACAUGGUGAUGGUUAUGGUAACAAUGGUGGUGGAAGCUAUGGAGAUCGUUAUGGCCCUUCUCUUGGAGGUUCAGGAUAUGGAAGUGGAGGAAAAGGAAGUGGCAAUGGCUAUGACGAUCAUUCUCGUGGAAAUGGUGCGCGUGACAAUAGCUAUGGAGAUUCUCAUGGACAUGAAGGACGUGACAGUGGAUAUGGAAGUGGUGGAGGAGUUAGUGGAGGCUAUGGCAAUGGAGGAGUUCAUGGAGGGGAGCAUGAUAAUAGCAAAGGAAGUGGAGAAGAAGGGGGUAGGGACGGUGGAUAUGCUUUCAAAAAUUCCAUCUCAAAGGAGAAUUGAGAACUCUUUUUCAAGUAAUGAACCCAAUAUCAUAUUAUGUUAACAAAAAAAAUAAAGAAUUGGGUAUAAGAGAAUGUUGUUUUCUAAAUUUAUGUUGAAUUUGUUACCAACGAAUGUCAAAUUCGAAUCAAUGGGUACAAUGAUAAUCAAAUUUAGGUUAUGUUUAUUGUGAUAAAUUUAUUGCACUCUUAUUUGUUUUGUUUCUCUAUAUAUAUUUUUUCUAUAUAUCCAUAUUAAUAUGGGUGGUUUUGGACCGAAGAAAAAAACAUCAUCUAAAAGUUUUUCGUUAAAAUCAUAUAAUUCUUACCUAAUAUCAAUGUUUGUUAGCAAAAAGUAAAAGAAUUUAGGUAAGAAUGUUAUGUUUCUCUUUGAAUUUUAGUAACUUUUUCAAUGAAGUUGUGAUAUUAUAAAAUCUAGUCAUUUCAUGAAGUUCUAAAGGCAAACAAGCAUGCACCAAAUACUCUAGCUAAUACAACGUACGCCAUUCCAAACGUGCUAUUUUAUGGAUUUCAAAGUUAAACUUUGAAACAAUCUUUUAAUACGUUCUAAACACAAAUUAUUUAACAUAAAUCAUGGGCUAAUCAAGUCCAAACUUAAUAGAUCAAACUCAUCAUUCCAAAUGUCUCCUACAUAACUUGUAGAAAAUUUUAAGAUUUAGUUCGAAUAUAUUAAAUUCGAUGUUCCAAGUUGUUUUAACAAAAUUGAAAAACUUCACCAUUAUUUUGAGAUUUUUUUUUAUGAUUACAUCCUUUAAUUUAUUGAAUAAUUAUAAACAAUCUUGGUUUCAAGAGAAUUAUAUUUACGCAACGAUCAUUUGCAGAUGUUCAAAAUAUUUCUACCCUCAAUUAUACUUACAGAAAAACAUUUGUUGCACUUAUCUCUUCCAAACCAUAAUAGUUUUUAGGAAAAGAAAAAAGAGACAUGUUUAUGAAAGAAAAUUAGGCUACGAUGCUCAUUGUCGUGGAUAUGGAGCGCGUGACAACGGGUAUGGGAGGUGGAGGAGUUAGGGGUGGCUAUGGUGGUGGUAGCAAAUUGAAGAGAUGGUUAUGGUAAAUAGAGAGGUGUUCAUGGAGGAGAAUAUGAUAAUGGCAAAGGAAAUGGAGAAGAAGGAGGUUGUGAGGGUGGAUAUGCACUCAAAAUUAAUUCCAUCUGAUCAAAAGAGAAUUGAGAAACUUUUUUUUUUUUUUUGUAAGUAAUGAACCCAAUAUUCAUAUUAAUUGCACAACAAAAAAUAAAGAAAUUGGGUAAGAGAGAACGUUGUUUUCUAAAUCUUAUGGGUGGAAGGUUUGCAUGUUCGUGAAUGUAAAUAUCAAAUCAAUUUUUUAAUGAUAAGCAAAUUUGGAGUAAGUGUGCAUUUAUACUGUGACAAAUUGAAUCAACCACAUAUACGUUAUUUUGUUUUUCCAAUGAUAUUUAUUAUAUAAGAGGAUUUUAUCUCAAAAUCAAUCAACAAAUACGUGAAUAGUAAUACGUCAAUUUUAUAAACAAUAAUGAUGAUCUCUUGAAUUUUUCAUGUGAAAUUAUCAACAUUCUCCAUGUAUUGUUCUCGGUUAUUAUUUUUGUAACCAAAGUGUAAUCCUCCAAAAAAAUACAAAAUUGACAACCAAGAAAAUAACUAAAUUUUCAUUUAAAAAGAAAAAAGAGAAUAGCAUAUCAAAUAUCAAAUAGCCAUGCAAAAUAAGCUUAACUAGGGGAGAGGGAGUCUAUAAGUCAAAUUGCAUAGUCUAAACCAAGGCUAACAAAUGAAUGAUGAUCCUACGAUAAAAUAUCUUAAGUAGAUUGAUACAUAUGAUAUGUAGCAUCUUCACCGCAUCUAAGAACAAGAGUCGAUGUGUUAUCACAAAAAUAAAAUACAAAAGGGAAGUUUGGGAGAAAAUUAGAGUUAUAAUAAUGUUGAGAGAGAUCCAAUUAAUUAAUACUCUUAAAAUUUUAAGAGAUAAAUUUUUAUAUUUGAGAAUUUAAAUGUGUAAUUGCGACUAAUUAACCAAUCGUGUUGAUUUUUGCAAUUUACCUUUUUUUAUUAAAUUUUCAAGAAAAAAAUAUUUAAUGACGAUCAAAAUGAUCCAUGACGUACAUACAAUUAUUGUCAAACAUUCCAUGUUACUAAAAGAAAAUUGAAACUUUCUCCAACGUUAUAAAUAUUUUAUCCACUUUACUAUUUUUUUUAUUAUUUCCCUAAUUUUGAUUCAAUCAAUUUUCUAGCUAUCAACUACCAUUCUUUAAAAAAAAAUCAAAUAUACAAAAAUAAAAAAUUGUCAAUUUUCGUCCAAAAAAAUUUUAAAAUAAAAUUUGGAAUUUGGAAUAUGGUACCUUUUGGAAUAAGUUUUAAAGCCUUUGAUUAAAAAAAAAAAGUUGCUUCAACCAAAAUCAUUGUAAAUAAUGUUGAAAUUAUAAAAUUAUUAAAAAUAUUUAUAAAUAUAGACAAACUAAAAUUUUAGAAUCUACCGUUGAUGUAACUAAUAAACGUAUAUCAGCGUCUACCGAAUAUAUUCUAAAAAACGGUAAUAUUUUAUAAAUAUUUUAGUAUGUUUACCCUUUCACAAACUUAAUUAAAAUUAUAAUCCAAAUCAAAACCUAUCCAAACAAAUAUUUGGUGUAACUUAAGGGAUGAAUCGCACUAAUAUGACUCAAACAUAUUUUGAGAAACGUGUUUAAAAUGUGAUAAAUUUUUCCACAAUAUUUUAUAGCAAAUGGCAAAUAAUUUAAAGUUUCUUUGAAGCAAGAAUUAGGCAAAGAAGCAUGUAUAUAUAUACAUAUAAUGUAAUUAAAAUUUAUAUUAUAGUGAUGCAAAAUCGUUUCAUAAGCCACUUCAUCUCUCUCUGUUUCAUGGCAUCUUAAGUACACAAAAAGAGAAAAAGGGAAAAAGAGACCUAAUAUAAUAUGUGUUCUUUAAUUGGUGGAUUUUUAUUUAGCAUUAUUAAUUCAUCAAUCACCAAGAAUAUUUAUUCUCAACAAAGUUAUUGAAUGAUAUUAAAUUUACAAGAACUAAAUGAUAUAUCAUUUCGUUUCAUAUUAAAUUUUUGUAAGUUUAGAUAAUUUAUGAAAGUAGGUUUGUUAUGUUUAGGUUAACUAAACACAUACAUGUUAAAUUGAAUAUGUGUUUUAUCUUGGUCAAUUGUGCAAAGUGGAUCCGUGGCGCAAUGGUAGCGCGUCUGACUCCAGAUCAGAAGGUUGCGUGUUCGAUUCACGUCGGGUUCAAUGUCCAUUUUUUAUUUUAGUCAUUUGUGAUCACAAAUAAAUUUAAACCUCAUAAUCAUUGCAUUUUAGGUUAUUGUGUAAAGUUAUAAAACAUUACAAAGUGGAACAAGUAUUGAUAUGAUUUCGUUCCAAUUAUAAUUUAUUUUUAUAGUUUAAUGAGACAUACGAAAAAGCCAACACUUUAGUAUUUUGCCUCUUGAACUUUACUUAAGUUAUAUAUAAAAAAUUAAUAAUGUUGUUGACCACAUGCCUCCUCUUUAAUUGCCACUAAGGUACUACACUAUAGAGAAGAGCUAAUGAGUCCUUGUUUUCUAUAUAAGGAGAUGGAUGAAUGCAUUCUAAGCAUACAUUCCUAUCCAUGGCUAUCUCUAGAGUGUUGUGCAUUGGCUUUCUUCUUUUUGUAGGUUUAGGGUUAGCUUCGGCUACCCGAACUCUUCUUGAUUAUGAUCCACGUGCACGUCGUUAUGAUUACGAUCAUCCUACUCCAAGAGUAGGGUACGAUCCAAGUCAUCGUGAUCAAUCAUAUGAUAAUGCAUACAGUGGAAGUUCUAGUAAAGGAUAUGGAAUUGGAGACUCUACUCUUGGAGGUUCUGGACGAUAUGGAGGUGGCAAAGGACAUGAUUCCGGAUAUGGAGGUCGAAAUGAUGAUCGCAGUACUGGAUAUGGAGGUCGAAAUGAUGACCGCAGUGAUGGAUAUGGAGGUCGAAAUGAUGACCGCGGUGCUGGAUACGGAGGUCGAAAUGAUGAUCGCGGUGUUGGAUAUGGAGGUCGAAAUGAUGAUCGCGGUGUUGGAUAUGGAGGUCGAAAUGAUGAUCGUGGAGUUGGAUAUGGUAAUGGUGGUAGAUAUGGAAGUGUAGGAGGACAUGGUGAUGGUUAUGGUAACAAUGGUGGUGGAAGCUAUGGAGAUCGUUAUGGCCCUUCUCUUGGAGGUUCAGGAAAAGGAAGUAACAAUGGCUAUAACGAUCAUUCUCGUGGAAAUGGAGGACGUGACAGUGGCUAUGGAGAUUCACAUGGACAUGAAGGACGUGAGAGUGGAAAUGGAAGCGGUGGAGGAGUUAGUGGUGGCUAUGGUAAUGGAGGAGUACAUGGAGGAGAGUAUGAUAAUAGCAAAGGAAGUGGAGAAGAAGGGGGUAAUGAUGGUGGAUAUGCUGUCAAAAAUUCUAUCUCAAAGGAGAAUUGAGAAUUCCUCUUUUUCAAGUAAUGAACCCAAUAUCAUAUUAUGUUAACGAGAAAUAAAGAAAUUGGGUGAGAGAAUGUUGUGUUUUAAAUUUAUGUUGAAUUUUCUUUGAAUAAUUCGAAUCAAUAGGUACAAUGAUAAUCAAAUUUGGAUUAUGUUUGUUGUGACAAAUUGACUGUACCCUAUUUUGUUAUAUUUCUCUAUAGAUUUUUUUAUAUAUAUCCAUAUUAAUACGGGUGAUUUUGAACUGAAUCAAAUGACAUAAACAAAGAGAAAAAAAUAUUGUCUAAAAGUUUAUUUGUUAACACCUUAUAAUUCUUAGUAACUUUUUCAAUGAAUGUGUGAUAUUAUAAAAAUAAGUUGUUUCAUGGGAUUCCAAGGAUGGACAAAAGAUGCAUAAAAUACUCUAACUAAUAAAAUGUACACCAUUCCAAACGUGCUAUAUUUUAUGAUUUUCAAAGUUAAACUUUGAAACAAUCUUUUAACACCUUCUAAACACAAAUUAUUUAUCAUACAUGGUGGGCUAAUCAAGUCCAAACUAAUUAAUAGGUCAAACCCAUCAUUCCAAUUGUCUGCUACACGUAACUUAUAAAAAUUUUCAAGAUUUAGUUUGAAUAUUUUAAAUUCAAUGUUUCAAGUUUUUUUAACAAAAUUGAAAAAACUUCACCAUUUUCUUGAGAUUUUCUUAUUAUGAUUACAUCCUUUAAUUUGUUGAAUAAUUAUGUACGAUCUUGUUGCAAGAGAAUAAUAUAUAUAUAUUAUUAUAUUAUAUAUAUACAUACAUUCAUUCAUUUAGGUUUAUGUGGUUCAAAAUCUUUCUACCCUCAAUUAUACUUAAAAAGCAUUGGUUGCACUCUUCUCUUCCAAACCAUGAUAGUUUUUAGGAAAAAAAAGAAACAUGUUGAUGAAAGAGAAUUAGACUACGAUGAUCAUUCUCGUGGAUAUGAAGCGCGUGACAACGGAUAUGGGAGUGGUGGAGGAGUUGGUGGUGGCAGCGAAAAAGGUGGUUAUGGUAAUAGAGAGGUGUUCAUAAAGGAGAAUAUGAUAAUCGGAAAGGAAAUGGGGAAGAAGGAGGUUCUAAUGGUAGAUAUGCACUCAAAAUUAAUUUCAUCUAAUCAAAAGAGAAUUGGAAACUUUUUUUUAAGCAAUGAACCCAAUAUUCAUAUUAAUUGGGCAACAAAAAUAAAGAAAUUGGGUAAGAGACAACGUUGUUUUAUAAAUCUUAUAUGUCAUUAGUUUACUUUUUGGUGAAAGUAAAUAAUUUGGAUUAAGUAUGCAUUUGUAUUAGAACAAAUUGAAUCCAACCAUAUACACAUUAUUUUACUUUUUUAAUAAUAUUUUUUAUUAAAUUAGAUGGUUUUAUUUUAAAAUUAAUUGAUAAUUACGUGAAUAGUAAUAUGUAUAUCUUAUAAACAAUAAUGUUGAUCUCUUCAAUUUUUUAUAUGCAGAAUUAUCAACAUUCUCCACCUAAUGUUCUAGGUUAUUUUUGUAAUCAAAGUGUAACUCUCAGACAAAAACAAAAACGAAAAAACCAAGAAAAUAACUAAAUUUUCAUUUAAAAAGAGAAAAAAGAAUAGCAUAUCAAACAUCCAUCCAAAAUAAGCAUAAUUAAGGGAGAGGGGGCCUAUACGUCAAUUGCUUAGUCUAAACCAAGACUAACAAAUGCCUUGUCCUAUGAUAAAAUAUUUAUAUUUCAAAGAUACAUAUAUUUUCACUACAUCCAAGAUCAAGAGCCAUUGUAUUAUAACAAAAGAUUGUACAAAAGGGGAGUUGGGGAGAAACUUAGAGUCAUAAUGUUCAAAGAGAUCUAAUUAAUACUUGUAAAAUUUUAAGAGCUAAAAUUUUGUAACAGAGAUUGAGAGUGUAAUCGCAACAAAUAAUCAUACUUCAAUGGUUGAUUAAUUUAUCAAGAAAAGUUUUAAAAAAACAUUUAAUGACAGUCAACAUCAACCCUUUCACGUCAUUAAAAGAAAAUUGGAACUUUGCCCACAUUUCUUUAUUAUUUUGCUAUUAAAAAUUAAUUUUGAUUCAAUCAAUUUUUUAGUUAUCAACUACUAUUCUUAAAAAAAUAUAUAUAUAUACAAAAAUUACGAAAAAGAAAUAUUACUUCUCAAACAAGAAUCAUCUUAAAUAAUCAUCCUAUCCAUUUUAAAAAAUAUAUAUAUUUUCAAUAAAUUAAAUAAUAAAAUUAUUGAAAAUAUUUAUAAAUAUAACUAAAAUAAAACUCUAAAAUCGAUGGAGGAUGUAACUUAUGAAAGUCUAUUAGCAUCUAUCAUUAACAUAUUCUAAAAUAUUUUUGUAAAUAUAUUUUGUUUCAUUUUGCUAUACUUAAAAAUAACCUUCCACAAAUUUAAAACUCAAAUUAAUCAAAACCAAUCCCAACAAAUAUUUUGUAUAAUUUAUGCGAUGUGCAUAAAUACGCAUUUUCCCACCAUAUUUGAUAGCAAAUGGCAAAUUAUUUAAUGUUUGUUUGAAGCAAGAAUUAGGCAAAGAAGCAUAUAUCUAUAUAAUAUGUAACUAGAUCUUAUAUUAUAGUGAUGCAAAAUCGUUUCAUAAGGCACUUCAUAUCUCUCUGUCUCAUGGCAUCUUAAGUACACAAAAUGAGAAAAAGGGAAAAAGGGCCCUAAUAUAAUAUGUGUCCUUUAAUUGGUGGAAUUUUAUUUAGCAUUAUUAAUUAAUCAACCGUGUAAAAUAUGGUAGGAAGAAUUAUUCUAAUGAUGAAUGAAAAUUUUAGGUUGGGAGGUCCCAUAUAUGAAGCAUAUGAGAAAUUUUCAAUCUUAAAAGAGUGAAUUAUCAAAUUAAAUUUACAUGAACGAAAUGAUAUAUCAUUUGGUUUGUAUUAAGUUUGUUUAAGUUUAGAUGAUUUACGAAAAUAGGUUUGUUAUGUUUAGGUUGACAAAACGACACUGUAUUUAGAUGAUGGUGUAAAUUUUAACAUGUUAAACAUGUGUUUUAUCUUGGUUUAUUGUGAUCUAAUACAAAUAAAUAUCGUUAUUGAAUUUUAGGUUAUCGUGUAAAGUUGUAAAAUAUUACAAAGUGGUGCAAGUGGGAAAAUGGGAUCAAAAGGAGAGUAUUGAUAUGAUUUCGUUCCAAUUAUAACUUAUUUUUUUAGUUUAAUGAGACAUAGGAAAAAGCCUACACUUUAGUGUUUUGCCUCUUGAACUUCCUUUGAGCUAUAUAUCCAAAAUUAAUAAUGAUUUUUUAGCACGUGUCUCCUCUUUAAUGGCCUCUAAGGUACCACACUAUAGAGAAGAGCUAAUGAAUCCUUGUUUUCUAUAUAAGGAGAUGGAUCCAUGCAUUCUAAGCAUACAUUCCUAUCCAUGGCUAUUCCUAAAGUGUUGUGCAUUGGCUUUCUUCUUUUUGUGGGUUUAGGGUUAGCUUCGGCUGCCCGAACUCUUCUUGAUUAUGAUCCACGUACACGUCGCUAUGAUUACGAUCAUCCUACUCCAAGAGUAGGGUACGACCCAAGUCAUCGUGAUCAAUCCUAUGAUAGUGCAUACAGUGGAAGUUCUAGUAAAGGAUAUGGAGUUGGAGACUCUGCUCUUGGAGGUUCUGGACGAUAUGAAGGUGGUGGAGGACGUGAUUCCGGAUAUGGAGGUCGAAAUGAUGAUCAUGGUGUGGGAUAUGAAGGUCGAAAUGAUGGUCGUGGUGCUGGAUACGGAAGUCGAAAUGAUGAUCGCAGUGCUGGAUAUGGAGGUCGAAAUGAUGAUCGUGGUGCUGGAUAUGGAGGUCGAAAUGAUGAUCGUGGUGCUGGAUAUGGAGGUCGAAAUGAUGAUCACGGUGCUGGAUAUGGAAGUCGAAAUGAUGAUCAUGGUGCUGGAUAUGGAGGUCGAAAUGAUGAUCGUGGGGUUGGAUAUGGUAAUGGUGGUGGAUAUGGAAGUGUAGGAGGACAUGGUGAUGGUUAUGGUAACAAUGGUGGUGGAAGCUAUGGAGAUCGUUAUGGCCCUUCUCUUGGAGGUUCGGGAUAUGGAAGUGGAGGAAAAGGAAGUGGCAAUGGCUAUGAUGAUCAUUCUCGUGGAAAUGGAGCACGUGACAAUAACUAUGGAGAUUCUCACGGACAUGAAGGACGUGACAGUGGAUAUGGAAGUGGUGGAGGAGUUAGCGGAGGCUAUGGCAAUGGAGGAGUUCAUGGAGGGGAGCAUGAUAAUAGCAAAGGAAGUGGAGAAGAAGGGGGUAGUGAUGGUGGAUAUGCUUUCAAAAAUUCCAUCUCAAACAAGAAUUGAGAACUCUCUUUUAAGCAAUGAACCCAAUAUCAUAUUAUGUUAAAGAAAAAUAAGGAAAUUGGGUAAGAAUGAAUAAUGUUGUGUUCUAAAUGUAUGUUGAAUUUACUUCAAAUGAAUGCUAAAUUUGAAUCAAUGAAUUAUGUUUGGAUUAUGUUUGUUGUUACAAAUUGAUUCCACCUUUCUUUUUGUUUUGUUUCUCUAUACAUUUUUCUAUAUAUCCAUAUUAAUAUGGAUUGAUUUUGGACCGAAUCGAAUGACAUAAUAAUCUAUGCCAAAUAAGAGUAAAACCACAUAGCCAAGAAAAUGAUAAGAGUAAAAGGAAAAAUAGUAUGUACAAUGUAAGACAAAUAAUUGUGUCUAGGAGAAGAGGGUGUUACUCAAGCCAAUGCAUUUAACCUCGACAAGACUCAACCUCAAGUUGAGCCUAACAAAAUGUCUAGUUGGGCAUACCCUUGUCAAAAUGCAUCACUUUAAUUAAGACUAAAAUAAACAUAUAGAGAAGGGAGUUUGAGCUUGAUAGGUCGAGACCAAUCCUAGCAGAAUAUUAAACAGAACUUGCCCUUCACAUGCCUCAACCUAAGUGAGUUGAAAAGGUUAUCGUAUCGUACCUCCAAAACUCUAUUCGGACAUAACCUAACUAAUUAACUAGGUUUAUUUAAUUCUACAAAUAAAUCAUUAGAGCUCUACAGAAACAAACUCUAUUCUCACUCAAUUUCUUUGACAUUUUUCAACUCUCUCUAAAAGCCAAAUAGGCACAACCCUAAAUCCUUACAUCUUCAAACCCUGUGUUUUAAUUACUAUGGAUAAAAGAGAACACAAAUCAAAUUUUACUUUCUUAUAUUUAGAUCAUAUUUCUUUUGAAAUUCAAAGUAAUGGAUAACACAAUAUGCUUCCAUUUCUAAUUUAAAUGAAAAUUUCAACAUUCCUAAUUACUGAUUUAUUUACACAAAAUAGCCCAAAGUAAAUAACUAUAAGUGAGUUUUCUUUACUAUUAUUUUGGUGAGUGAAGAUACUAUGAGUUUUUAUAUCACUAAAAUGUGAUAAUUUUUCCAACCAUUAUUGUAUUAGCAAAUGGGAAAUAAAUUAUUUAAUAAUGUAUCUAUAAAGUGGGAAGAAUUAGGGAAACAAAAUGCAUAAUUAAAUAUGUAAAAAAACUAUAGUAAUGCUAUGUCGUUUCAGAAACCAUUUGAAGAGUUAAGGAAAAAAGAGGGGAAAAAAAGCUCUAAUAUAAUAUAUGCUCUUUAGUCCUUUUUCUUAAAAAAAAAUUAAUGCUCUUUAAUUAGUUUGAAAUAGCCAUAUAAAUUAAAUAUCUUCCUAAAAGGAAAGAUGGGUUCUCAAGAAAAAAUAUAUUUCAAUGCUUCUUUUUCUUUUUCUUUUUCUUAAUCCUUGUUGAUGAAGAGAAUUCAGGCUUAAAAAUGGAGAAUUUCAUAUUUUCUAAUAUUUUACACUUUUUUCAACCUCAUAAACAAAUUUUGAUUAAAUGGUUGUAGUAAAGAUACUUUUCUUUUUUUUUCACCAAAAACAGCUUUAUUUUAUUUUAAUCUUCUGUCAUAUUUGUAUCGAGAAAAUUAAAUAAAUACUAUUUUUUUUCAAUAUAUUUAAUUUCGUUUUAAAAUAAAGGGAAAAUCCCUAGAAAUCAUCACUUUUCUCUUCUUCUUUGAAGACCCUCUUCUUUUAUGGUAUAACUUUCAUUAGUUGUUCUUAAUAUGCUUCUUUUAACUUUAACUGUCAAAUAUAUAUAUACACAUACAACGAUAAUUUAUCCUUAAUAUCAGAUAUAAAGUUUUUUUUAUGCAUGGCUCUAAUCCAAAAGACUUCAAAAAAAAAAUUACCAAAAUGUAAAUCGAUGAUGAGAAAUUAAAAAAUUGAUAUGGCUAAUGUUUAAUAAGCUAGAUUGAUUGAUAAGUUACUCAUCCCACAAUUACUUGAUUUUGAGAUGAAACGUCAAGUUAUCUAAUAUUAUAUCGUAACUCGCGAAAACAUAAACGAACAUUCAGAUCAAAAAAAUAAAUAUUGGAGUCCAAUUCAAGAAUGAUGAACCCAAAGAGAGACAUCAUUUAUCAAUGGUGUGUAUACUAGCCAAGGAUCUUAUCAUGCUAGAAUAAUUGAGGGACCUUUUAUGUUUAUAUAUAAGAUGUAUAUGUUUCUUCUCUUAUAUUUUAUAUUGGUUUUAAGAUGUAAAGCUCAUGUUAUCUAAUAUAUGAUGUCGGUUGUUCGAAAAUUCGAUGUAAAAAUAGUAAAUAAUCGAAAGAAGCACGGAUCCCAAAAGGACAUAUCAAGGAAACCUCACACCAUGCAUCUUUAUAAGUCCCUCACACCAUGCAUUCAAAAACUAUAAUUGAGGGACCUCACACCAUGUCAUGCAUCUUUAUAACGUCAAUCAUACAUAUCUAUUAUUAAUUUCCUCUCAUAUGGCUCAUGAUAUACUACGUGUAACAAUUUUUCAUUGCCAAGAAAUUUCCAAAUUGUAAUAGUGGUAAGUUAUGAAAUGAUUUUCUUACAAAUAUCUUCAUAGAUAAAUUAAUAAUAAAACAUCAUGUGUGAACGGCAGAAUCCAAUUGACUGAAAAAUCAUUUUGGAGUAAUAUUAUCGGUUGUGAGCACAAUCCUUUGAUCUAUUUGGUGGGAAAGAAACAGUAGAACCUUUACUUGAGAAGCUAUAAUUCUUACAUUUUUAUUAAUUAUCAUAUUACUUCGUCUUUAUUUUAAAAAUAUUCAUACAAGACAUGAGAGAUUAGCAUAGGCAUUCAAAUAUCAAUACCUUUGAACAAAAAAGCUUUUCCUUGGCCCUAAAAAAGUUGUACAACAAUUAACAAAACACUCCAAUAUUAAGGUUAAUAGGAAGAAUGCCUAAACUUAACUAUAAAAAUUGUUUGGAACUACAAAACUAAGCAAACUAAGGUGGCUAAACUCAACAUGAAAAUAAAGAAGAGUAAUUUAAACUUAGAUAUUUAUUCAUGUCACCUAAACUUUUAAAGUCGUUUUUGAUUGCAUGCUCCUCUAAACUUUAUCAAAUCUUGCGAGAUCAUGUAAGGGGAAAGAUGGAAUCAACUUAGCCUUACUUUAAUUUAAUAUGUUUUAGUACCACAUGUCAACAUAAAAUAAAGAAAUUAGGUUAGAGAGAAGGUUGUGAUCUAAAUCUAAGUACAUUAAUUAAUGUCAAAUUUCAAUCCAUGUUUGAAUGAUAAACAAAUUUGGAGUAAAGAAUAUUACUCAACCAUACAUAAGUAAGACUUCAACUCUAAUUGAAAGGGGCUGACAAGUAUAGUUACUCCUAAACUGUCUACAAAUAUUAAAUAUUAUAUGAAGACAAUAAAGUUAAGGGGAGUUCGAGUCCCCUAGACCUAUACUAAAUCCGUCGGUCAUGGUGAUGGUGCACAACACUCAAUUGUUCAACACAACUAUGAUGAAUUUUUUUGUUUGUUGGGAGAGAAAACACUAAUAUGUUUUAUUUCAUUAAAAUGUGAUAUUUUUGUCCCAUGAUUAUUGUAUAGAGAAAUGGGAAAUUAUAUAUAUAGUGUAAGCUUCAAGUGGGAAUUAGGAAACACAUGCAUAAAUAUAAAGUUACGAUAAUUAUAGUAAUGCAAUGUCGUUUCAGAAGCCCAUUAUUCAUCCUCUCAAUUAUCUCAUGCAUGGUGGCUCUCAUCAAGUUGAGAAAAAGGAAAAAAAAUAGGCCUAAUAAAAUAUAUGUUCUUUGUUUCUUGGUAACCAUUGUAAAUUAAUCGUAAUAUAAAUAUCUUCUAAAAGAGAAAAAAAGAAGACUCUCAAGACAAAUUAUCAUGCUUCGUCAAUCCUCUUUUUUUUUUUUUUUUUUUUCCUCAAUCUUUAAUGAUAGAAGAAAAUUUUAGCUCAAUAAAAUUGAAAUUUUUGUAUUUUAAAAAAUUUAUGAUGUUUUUUAACACGUGUAUAUAUAUAUAAUGAACAAUAUAACAAAAUAUCACAUUAAGUUUUACUAUAUAUUUAUAAAUAUUUUUUUAAUUAAUUUUUUCACUUAAUUUAAAAAUAUUUUUUCUAUAUAAAUAUUAUUAAUAAAGAACAAUUACAUUAGCUUCUCUUUUUACGUAUAACUCUUACUUUGGAUUGAACUUUUAACUCUUGAAAAGAGCAUUAGUGAGCCAAUUAAUUCACUUUGACUACAUAACUUUCUUUAGUUGCUUAAUAUAUUUGUUUUGGUGUUAAACUAUCAUUAUAACAGAACAAUUAGGAUAGUUUUCAUUUUCGUGUAUAACGUUUUUCUAUGGUCGAUAUCUAAGGAAAUAAUCAAAAAAACAAAUGUACUUACAAUAAAUUUCAUUGUGUCAUAAAAUGAAAUUUCCAAAUUAUGUAAGUGUUAAGUUGUAAAAGUUGAUAAUCAAAUUUCAAUGUGAAAUUAUAUAUUUUGGAAAUAUCUGCACCAUAGACAAAAAUUAAUAAACAAACUUCUCAAAAUUAAGUGUGUUAAUUAUAAGAGAAUGCCUAAACUUAACUAUAAAAAAAUAAGUUGGAGCCAAAACUAAUUAGCUAAAAUAUUAAGGUGAAUUUAUCACAAAAAGUACAAACAAGUGAAGUAAGGUGGUGUUGCAUAAAGCCUACUGAUUUUCAACUUUGGCUUUCUAAAUUUGAGCUCCUCACGUUUUCACACAAAAGCUUCUCACAACCUUUGAAUAAGAUCCUCUCAAAAGAACAUCAACUACUGAUGUAUUAAACUAAUAAAGAGCCAGCCUAGUUUACUUGACUACUAGUAACAUCCUCAACAGUGACGUACAUUUAAUUUCACAAACAGUGCGUAAGGAUUAAGGUUAAACAAUCUCUCAAAACAUGCACACACAGUAUUUUUAACAGAGCUAAUUAACCCUAAAAAUAAACAAAACUCAUAAUAUAUAUGGAAGCUGAUCUUGAGCAGAUAGGAAAAAAGAUUAUCAAAAAGAAUAGAAAAACAAAUUAAAUCAGCAGGUUUAAUUUUCCCUACACGGUUCAAUAGAUUAAGAAAAAAAUCUUGAUACAAAAUUCGAAGGAGAAAUAUAGAUUUUGACAGAAAAUGUUACAAAACAAGUUGCUCAAGUUUUGCUUGUAACAAAAUCCGCCAAUCGUAGUACAGUAACACAUAAGCAACUAAAAUGACUGAUCUCAACAAGAAUGGAAACACUAGAUAUGUUACAAGAGAACAUGCAUAAAUACAGUUUGGUCUAAUUAAAAAAACAGUGUCUUAGAUAACACAAGAAGGUAGAAAAAUAGAUGAGAGAGUAAUCAAACUUAGCUGACAAAUAUGGAUAUUAAUGAAUUUCACCUGAACUUUAUAUAGUUUUUCUUUACUCUUCUCUAAAUCUUACCAAAUAUUGCAAGAUCGUGUAAGUGGACAAUGGAAUAAUCGUAAUAAUCAAUUGAAGCCUUACAUAAAAUAUCGAUGUGUUUUAGUACCAAAAUCGAACUUUAGUUAGUACCUAAUAUGACAAAAGGCCUCACUACGUAGUAUUUUGCCUCAUGGACAUCCAUGGAGAAGUUGAUGAACCCACCACUUUUUUUAAACAUAUGACACCCUCUUUACCGUGAAGGACACCAUAGAGAAGUUGAAGAGACCCUCCACCCAUUUCCUAUAUAAAGAGAUCAAUGCAUGCAUUUUCUUGGCAUUCUACUCAUUCUCUAAUUCUCUCCAUGGCUAUCCUUAGAGCACUGUGCCUUGCCUUUCUUCUCUUUGUACGGUUAGGUUUAGCUUCGGCUACUAGAACUCUUCUUGAUUAUGAUCCACGUACACUUCAAUAUGGCUAUGAUCGUCCUAGUCCAAGAGUAGGGUAUGAUCCUGGCCAUGGGGAUGAAUCCUAUGAUAAGGCAUACGGUGGAAGCUCUAGUAGAGGACAUGGAAUUGGAGACUCUGCUCUUGGAGGUUCUGGAUACGAAGGUGGUGGAAGACACGAUUAUGGAUAUGGAGAUCGACAUAAUGAUCGUGGGGUUGGAUAUGGUAAUUAUGGUGGUGGAUAUGGAGGUGUAGGAGGACAUGGUGAUGGUUAUGGUAACAAUGGUGGUGGAAGCUAUGGAGAUCGUUAUGGACCUUCUCUUGGAGGUUCAGGAUAUGGAAGUGGAGGAAAAGGAAGUGGCAAUGGCUAUGACGAUCAUUCUCGUGGAAAUGGUGCACGUGACAAUAGCUAUGGAGAUUCUCAUGGACAUGGAGGACGUGACAGUGGAUAUGGGAGUGGUGGAGGAGUUACUGGUGGCUAUGGUAAUGGAGGAGUGCAUGGAGGAGAGUAUGAUAAUAGCAAAGGAAGUGGAGAAGAAGGAGGUUAUGAUGGUGGAUAUGCUGUUAAGAACUCCAUCUCAAAGGGAAAUUGAGAAACCCUUGGCUUCUUUUUCUUAUUAUACUAUGCCAGCUAAAAUAAAAAUAUGGGGUAAGGGAUCAAGAAUAUUGUUAUCUAAAUCUAUGUUUGAGUUGCU
rnacentral:lncRNA from 1 species